rnacentral:rRNA from 1 species
GUGUCAGCCGCCGCGGUAAUACGGAGGGUGCAAACGUUGCUCGGAAUCAUUGGGCGUAAAGCGCACGUAGGCGGUCUCGUAAGUUGGAUGUGAAAGCCCUUGGCUUAACCAAGGAAGUGCAUUCAAAACUGCUUGACUUGAGUACCGGAGAGGGUCGCGGAAUUCUCGGUGUAGAGGUGAAAUUCGUAGAUAUCGGGAGGAACACCAGUGGCGAAGGCGGCGACCUGGACGGAUACUGACGCUGAGGUGCGAAAGCGUGGGGAGCAAACAGGAUUAGAAACCCCUGUAGUCC